UCUCUCAGGUAACUGCCAUCAUCUCAUUUUGCAAAUGAGGAAAGUGAAGAUGGGCAAAUAACCUGUUUUACUGAGGCUGCGACUCCCACCUCAGUUCGCUAGCCUCACUGCUUAUCUCGGUUGACAACGUUCAUGGCCUCUGCUGGAUGGCUCCCAUAGUCGAGUUGGUGCUUACAGAGGCUUUCUGGCAUGGAGGUGUCAAAUAGAGCACAUAGAAACAAGGAUCCACUUCAUGCUGCCUGCUUACAGUUUUUGAGAAUGGAGAAAAAUUAAGGAUUUCUCAUUGAAGAACCACAACUAAGAAGUAAGCCGACCUGUGCUUAGUUGUAUAAAAUCGAGACUUCCCCUCUCUGGACCUCGGUUUCCUUCUGCCCUGACACAUAUGUCCUACCUUCAAGGACCUCACAGUGAAGAAGGCUGGCUGAUCAUGCUACAGGUUACCGGGCAUGGUCUUUUCUUUAUCUGGACCUUUGACCCUCGACCCACAAGCAAAGGUUCCGGUGACUGACUUCCAGGCUAGCGUUCUGGGGGAUACUGGAAAGAAGACCAUUUUCUCUCCAGUGGAGAUUGCUAAUCAAACUAUGCAGCUUCUCUGGGGAAGAUGACUCUGUCAGGUUUGAUUGGAGCUGUGGGCCCUGAUGCCCAACCUGACAGCCCUGAUAGGCUGAGGGCCUGCUCUCUAGAAGCAAGAGGAACGAAUGUUACCUUCCAUGCCUUACCUCUUGCUCAGGCUGAGUCCUACCAAGCCUGAUAAGAGAGCUGUCCCGGGAGGUGAACCGGGAGAAUUUCAAGAAAAUGGUGAGAUUUUGGCAAUUUGGGUACCUCAAGUUAGAUUGGCCUAGCAAGUUAUUAAGAAUCUACCAAUCACAUCUGGA
rnacentral:lncRNA from 1 species